GCGGUGUUGCGCCAAUGAACGUGGCGCUAAUGACCUACAUGGCAGCGUAGCCCUCGUCGUUGUGAAGUUCGGCGCUCAGCCCGCGGCGCCAGGGUCUUGCUGUAUAUGGUCCCGGCUGUCCAAGAACUCAGGAAUCCGCCCAUCUCCUCAAGUACUGAGAUUACAGGGCUGAAGAUGCCACUGAGUGGUGGAACAGCCGUGGAGUGCACUAGGGCCUUGGGCUGCCUCCCACACUGCCCAAAGCAGCCAACUGCCUUUCCAGGGCUGGGGAUGUACUGGAGGCCCUGGGUUCAAUCUCUAGCAUUGCAAAAGAAAGUUAAAGCAUUUUCCUUUAGUUAAUACCAACAUCUUCACAAAUAUUAGACUCACUAAAUGAAAUAUUAACAUCAAAAAACAUUAAGGUUGAAUAUUUUAUUUGUUUCUGAUUGUGCUGCAAAGCUGUUGCCUCGUAUAAAAACAG